rnacentral:lncRNA from 1 species
CAAUCAUUGAGGCAAAGGGCAGGGGAGCAGAUUUUCUGCUACACGAGUAAAUUUUCAUGGCAGUUUUGCAAUGCAGCAUUGUGUAUAUAAAUAGCAAGUUAAACUUGUACAUGGUUCAUGCACGGUAAGUACCAUACCAAGAUAUUUAGUCUCUUUCUGAACCAGGAAGACAUUUCUCUCUCAUCAUUUUACCAAGUGCGAAAGUGAAAAAUGCCUGAGACUUACAGCUUACUGAAUCUUGAUUACAAAGAAAUGCCCAUAACACAUUACAGGUUACUUUUGAAUUAAUAUGAGUAGUCAUUAACAGACAGGCACAGAAUAUAAUGAAAAUUCCAUUGUCUGAUCACUCUAAAUGCAUCUGACAUUGUGUUUAUCGUUCUGUUUAGUUGUGUCCUUGUAAAGUAUGACGUAGAAUAUCUCUGUUAGCCUUUUACCUCAAAUUGCCUUUAAGAGCAAGGCAUGCACUUCAGUAAAACGAGGUUUUCAGCAUUAUUUAUGCCCGAUAUAUGCCUGGUAUCAAAGGCACCUUUAAAAAUAUGAUAGGCUUCUUUCCCCCAACACCUGAGGAAACCACAUAACGCUUUCUCACAAAUGCCGCAUUAACCCAACUGUGGCUGCGGUUGUACACAACUGCCCAUUUCCUAAUGCAUCAUUUUUUCUGCCACCAGAACCAGGUGCUCCAGAGGACAGUGGCUAUACCGUUUGGUCCGUGCGCAGUGGGACUCGAGAAACACUGACAUAGUUGAAGACCCCAGACCCCUCUUCCCCAUAAGGAAAAUACUGUCAAGAUCCGGGACAUUCCUCAGCCUAAGCCAAGCAGUCCAGAUCCACUCAUCUGCACCCCCUGCCAGCAGCUGCCUGUGACCAGCUCACCCCGAGGACACUGGUCACGCUCGUGGUCUGAGCCUCAGAGGAGCGCAAUAGCAAUGCUGGGCUCAAAUUCCAAUGGCAGUGAAGGACACUUGGCCAGACUUGUUCAGAAACAGAUAUUCUUGGGCAGAGAUUUCCUGCAAGAAUCGGAACCUCUCCACGUGGCCCCAUCUAGCAAUCCUGUGUUACACACCAUGGCCAGCAGGGGAACAUGGUGCUGGUGGCCUUCCCCCUCUUCAAAACCUUACGCACAGCUCACCAGCCAUCCUGCUCCAAGAGUCAGGACCAGCCAUGCAGUUUGUUUUAUUUCACAAUAAAUAUUUAUACAGCAC